ACUGCAGACAGACAGGAGAUGGUGACAAAGCAAAAUAAUGGCAGAAAACAUUACACCUACUUACACGCUCACAAAGCAGCUACAGCAAAAAGAAUGGCCGUCACCAGCCUCAGCGCACCAGCACUGGUCAAAACGGCGCCAUUUGUGGGGCCCGAGCAGUCGUCAUUGUUGCCACUGAAGCAUCCCGGGUGGAUGGCUGCCUUCGGCACUUCGCCAUCCACCUUGAAGCUGGUAGUCGGCUUGCCGUCACUGAACAGGACGCACCAGAAGUACGGUCCACCGCCAUCGGUGCCGCUCACAGCCGCCCCGACCUCCGUGUGGUUCUUGCUGCGCAGUAUCUGGAGGCCCUUCGCGUCGUUCACCAACAAGACGCCAAAGGCCUCAGCUGGAGCCAAGUACUGGGACUGGCAAGCCACCAGCCUUCCGGUGAUCUUGGAGAGGGUUGUGGCCUGGACGCCACAGGUCGGGGCGAACGUGUCGGUGAAGCUUGACUCCAUCGGCUUCUUGUCGUCCACCUGGUCACAAUGGCCUUCGUAUGCUUUGAUGUACUGCAGAGCGAUGCAUCCCAAACCUUGGUUGUCCGAAACAGAAGAUGCCUUGCCAGCAGUGCGGUUGCUGUUGAUCAGUGCCACGAGCUCAUCAGCAGGGUUGCCUGAAAAGAAAAUUAGUCAUGAAAAUGGUCCUAACCAUUUCACUAAAAGUGUUGCUAUUUUAAUAGGGUUAUUUAAAUAUUUUAGCAAAGUAGCUACAUGGGAGAACCACCUUACGUUACAUGAAGUGCAGCAAAAGUGCAAAACCAUACAUUAUUUUACUACCU
rnacentral:misc_RNA from 1 species